rnacentral:rRNA from 1 species
GGUUAAGUUAGAAAGGGCGCACGGUGGAUGCCUUGACACUAGGAGUCGAUGAAGGACGGGACUAACGCCGAUAUGCUUCGGGGAGCUGUAAGUAAGCUUUGAUCCGAAGAUUUCCGAAUGGGGAAACCCACCAUACGUAAUGGUAUGGUAUCCUUAUCUGAAUACAUAGGGUAAGGAAGACAGACCCAGGGAACUGAAACAUCUAAGUACCUGGAGGAAGAGAAAGCAAAUGCGAUUUCCUGAGUAGCGGCGAGCGAAACGGAACAUAGCCCAAACCAAGAGGC